rnacentral:misc_RNA from 1 species
AAGUCGUAACAAGGUUUCCGUAGGUGAACCUGCGGAAGGAUCAUUACUGAAAGGGGACUCCGGUCCCCGGGACAAGCCCCCGUCGAGCCCUUGGGCUCCCCGGGUGGUGACACCCCUUACCCUUUGUUUACCUUACCUCUGUUGCUUUGGCAAGGCCCCUGCCCGGGUGGUUCCAGGCUUGGGCUCUGCCAGAGGGCCCCAACUCGUGGAUAGUUCUUGUUUGUCUGAGUACGAUAUAAUCGUUUACAACUUUUAACAAUGGAUCUCUUGGCUCUG